rnacentral:rRNA from 4 species
AGAACGACUCUCGGCAACGGAUAUCUCGGCUCUCGCAUCGAUGAAGAACGUAGCGAAAUGCGAUACUUGGUGUGAAUUGCAGAAUCCGUGAACCAUCGAGUCUUUGAACGCAAGUUGCGCCCGAAGCCUUCGGGCCAAGGGCACGUCUGCCUGGGCGUCACGC